rnacentral:sRNA from 1 species
CUGUCCAGUGAGUCAGAUGCCCCAGGCCAGCCUGUGAGCUGCUCCCCUGCCAGGCCCUGCUCUUUCUGCUGGGUUAACCUCGAGGCAUAAGUGAGCCCUAGAAGCCGGGGUGGGGCUGGGGGUCUCCAGCUGCCCUGCUGAGGUGCCGUCCUUUGCUCUCUGCAGGGUUCAUGCUCAUCGGGAGUGACGUUAAGCUGAACAGCCCCUCAUCACUCAUCGGCCAGGCCCUCACAGAGAUCCUGCAGCACCCGGAGCGUGCGCGGGAUGCCCUGCGAGUGCUGCUGCACCUGGUGGAGAAGUCCCUGCAGCGCAUCCAGAAUGGGCAGCGCAAUGCCAUGUACACGUCCCAGCAGAGUGUGGAGAACAAAGUGGGUGGCAUCCCUGGCUGGCAGGCCCUCCUCACCGCUGUGGGCUUCCGGCUGGACCCCCCAACCAGCGGCCUGCCAGCGGCUGUCUUCUUCCCAACCUCCGACCCGGGCGACCGGCUCCAGCAGUGCAGCAGCACACUCCAGUCCCUGCUGGGCCUGCCCAAUAAUGCCCUCCAAGCCCUUUGCAAACUCAUCACUGCCUCCGA